rnacentral:pre_miRNA from 1 species
GGAAGUUAAGAAACUGUUUCUUAACUUUUAAUUAAAAAAGUUAAGAACCGGUUCUUAAAGUCCUUAUUUAAGAACCAGUUCUUAGUUUUUUUAGUUAAAAGUUAAGAAACAAUUUUUUAACUUCC